rnacentral:lncRNA from 1 species
GUGGCCGAUCAGAGGACAAUGGGCUUAGGCGCGUGCACGAGUCGACCCCAUGCUUUAUUUUCUUUCGUCUUUUUACCUAAACGCAGAUUCAUUGUCGGAAUAUUAUCGCUUUUUUACGAGAAAAAUGGCAUAAAAAUUGAUUUUAAACAGCGGUUGACAUGCUUCGAAGUACGGUAAUGGAAUAUUUAGACAUUUUUUGUCACGAAAUGCGUCGUGCACGUCACCCUUCUUUACCCUUUCGGAUAGUGUCUUGAACGCACGAACAAAACGCCGCUGUUUGGAUAUAACUAUGGAUUAUUUGGGACCAAACCAACAUUUGUUAUUGAAGUAGAAGUCCUGGGAGUGCAUUCUGACGAAGAACAGCAAAGACCAUUUCCGGAGACCUUCUCCCCUACCUCACCUCGCUCAUCAACGCAUCCUUGACCGCUGGCUACGUCCCUUCCGUCUUCAAGAGAGCGAGAGUUGCACCCCUUCUGAAAAAACCUACACUCGAUCCCUCCGAUGUCAACAACUACAGACCUAUCUGCUGCCUUUGAUACCGUGAACCAUCAGAUCCUCCUCUCCACCCUCUCCGAGCUGGGCAUCUCCGGCACCGCGCACGCUUGGAUUGCGUCCUACCUGACAGGUCGCUCCUACCAGGUGGCGAAUCGCAUCUCUGCAUGUCUGGCAGACAUAUCAGUGUGGAUGACGGAUCACCACCUCAAGCUGAACCUCGGCAAGACGGAGCUGCUCUUCCUCCCGGGGAAGGACUGCCCGUUCCAUGAUCUCGCCAUCACGGUUGACAACUCCCUUGUGUCCUCCUCCCAGAGUGCUAAGAGCCUUGGCGUGACCCUGGACAACACCCUGUCGUUCUCCACCAACAUCAAGG